GGACCCGCACAAGUAGUGGAGCAUGUGGUUUAAUUCGAAGAUACGCGCAGAACCUUACCAACACUUGACAUGUUCGUCGCGACUUUAAGAGAUUAAAGUUUUCGGUUCGGCCGGACGAAACACAGGUGCUGCAUGGCUGUCGUCAGCUCGUGUCGUGAGAUGUUGGGUUAAGUCCCGCAACGAGCGCAACCCUCACUUUUAGUUGCCAUCAUUUAGUUGGGCACUCUGAAAGAACUGCCAGUGAUAAGCUGGAGGAAGGUGGGGAUGACGUCAAGUCCUCAUGGCCCUUACGUGUUGGGCUACACACGUGCUACAAUGGUAUUUACAACAGGAAGCAAGACGGCGACGUUAAGCAAAUCCUUAAAAAAUACCUCAGUUCGGAUUGCACUCUGCAACUCGAGUGCAUGAAGCUGGAAUUACUAGUAAUCGUGGAUC
rnacentral:rRNA from 1 species